rnacentral:rRNA from 1 species
CUAAAACCCCCCCAAUACAUUUUAAGACCUCAAAUCAGGUGGGACUACCCGCUGAACUUAAGCAUAUC